rnacentral:rRNA from 1 species
CGUAACGCGUAUGCAAUCUACCUUUAACUGGUGAAUAGCCCGAAGAAAUUCGGAUUAACACACCAUAGUAUAAUUGAGUGGCAUCACUUAAUUAUUAAAACUCCGGUGGUUAAAGAUGAGCAUGCGUGACAUUAGCUAGUUGGUGAGGUAAUGGCUCACCAAGGCUACGAUGUCUAGGGGAUCUGAGAGGAUUAACCCCCACACUGGUACUGAGACAGGGACCAG